CCUUCGUUAGGGGGAACUUGGGGAGGGACCAUUA
rnacentral:rRNA from 1 species